rnacentral:lncRNA from 1 species
AUUUGCACACACUGAUACAGCUUGUUUCCUGGGCCUCUGAUUGAAUCCUUGUGAGGAUGGCAAAUUUCUGAUGUGCUGAGGAGAUGAAGCUGUCACAUCCUCAUCUUCAUAGUGUCAACUGAUCAGUCAAUUCCAAGUGAACAGAGGAAGGUCACCAGAAGACAUCAAAUUCUUGUAAAUGCCAAGAACAUGGAUUACUGAGGAUAUGCUCUCUGUAGAAAAAUCUAUGUGGAAUAGAUUGCUCUUACAAAUAUCCCCACUGCAGCCAGCACAACCAAUGGAGUCUGUACUUUGAUCAUUAAGGCACCCAAGCUGCAAAACAAAACAAGCUUCAUGUUCAGUAACCCCAUGCACCAACAAGGAUUCUCUAUGGAUUCACCAAAUAAUGGCCAUUUUGAAAAUACGGGCAUCUCGCCUAUUCUCUCUCUAUUGCAGCAGCAUUGGAAAAUCCAGGAGGUGGGAUGCUCAAACAACAGAUGUGCAGACCAAAAGCAGUGAAAUUUACGGCUCUGAUUCUGAUGGCUGAAAGAAAACCAACACUGACCCUCAAGAGUUUAGGGUAUAAAUAAAGAGUUUUAGAAUUAUGCA